GAGUUUGAUCCUGGCUCAGGAUGAACGCUAGCGGCAGGCCUAACACAUGCAAGUCGAACGGCAACAGGAAAUAGCUUGCUAUUUUGCUGACGAGUGGCGCACGGGUGCGUAACGCGUAUACAAUCUACCUUUUGCUGAGGGAUAGCCCAGAGAAAUUUGGAUUAAUACCUCAUGGUAUUAUUGAUAGGCAUCUAUUAAUAAUUAAAGGUUACGGCAAAAGAUGAGUAUGCGUCCCAUUAGCUAGUUGGUGAAGUAACGGUUCACCAAGGCAACGAUGGGUAGGGGUCCUGAGAGGGAGAUCCCCCACACUGGUACUGAGACACGGACCAGACUCCUACGGGAGGCAGCAGUGAGGAAUAUUGGACAAUGGGCGAGAGCCUGAUCCAGCCAUGCCGCGUGCAGGAAGACUGCCCUAUGGGUUGUAAACUGCUUUUAUACAGGAAGAAUAAGCCUUACGUGUAAGGUGAUGACGGUACUGUAAGAAUAAGGACCGGCUAACUCCGUGCCAGCAGCCGCGGUAAUA
rnacentral:rRNA from 1 species